UACGUAGGGGGCAAGCGUUGUUCGGAAUUACUGGGCGUAAAGGGCGCGUAGGCGGCCCGCUAAGUCGAACGUGAAAUCCCCGAGCUCAACUUGGGAACUGCGUCUGAUACUGGUUGGCUUGAAUUCGGGAGAGGGAUGCAGAAUUCCAGGUGUAGCGGUGAAAUGCGUAGAUAUCGAGAGGAACACCAGUGGCGAAGGCGGCUCACUGGACCGGAACUGACGCUGAGGCGCGAAAGCGUGGGGAGCAAACAGG
rnacentral:rRNA from 1 species